ensembl:lncRNA
CACCCGGCGGCAGGGAAGCGGGGGGGGCUGCUCGCCGAGGCCACCGGGGAGGAGCCCGCCGGGACCGGUGCGACCCAGCAGCACGGCGGAGCCGGGACGUGCCUGAAGCGCCGGGAGGAAAGACCAGCCGGGGAUAAACGCCGCGGGGGCAGCGGGCGGGAAGGAGCCCCCCGGCGCUGAGCAGGAGCCUGAAGCCGCAUAAAAGCAGAACGCAGCCAACACGUCUCCCAGCAGAAGGAGCUGAAGGGCAACCCCAACACAGACAGGUGGUCACCAUCACCCCGCUUCCACCUCCUGUGACGGACAGGUCUGACCCGCGCGAAGUGCUGGAAAGAGUGUCAUUGCUCUGCCCUUCUGCUACACUGACGUGCUUGGUGGAAACGUUGCAGUUCCCUGGCUGGACAAACUGUGUCACGCCUGUCAGCGACAGAAGUUCUGUACAGUGCUGCUUUCUCGCUGCAGGAGGCAACGUGUGCAGCCAAGCAGUUUUAGCCGUGUAACUGCCACAUCAGCAGGACAGGGGAGAAGGAUGCCUGACAACUAGAAGAAGACAAGGAGGCCAGGAGGAGAGAGGAUGUAAGAGGACUUGAGAGAAAAAGUAUAGAAGUACCGGCUAAGGUGCCAACUGUUCACUUUCAAGGAGGAUUUACCAUAAAAUUCCAUGAUAAUAGCAAGCUUAAGCUCUCUAAAUAAAACAGAUUUUUAAUGGACUUCUGAGACCUGAUGUAAAAAGGAUGGGUGGAUCCCAGGAGAAACAAAAUGCUUGCAUGUAUAAGAGAUAUCUGCCAGAAAUACAUGGAUGACCAGUUACUACAGCAGCAGCAGAAUGUGCCUGCUAUGGCUACUACUUCUAAAACAAAACAAAAGGAAACAGCAGAAAUAAAAAACCAGUCACUGGCAAGAAUAUCUCCUUGCUGUAAAUUGGAUAGGUUUUAAAAAAUUGACAGCACUGUUCCUUCUGUUCUGAACAGGAGAUCUCCAGGUCCAGAACAACUCAUCAUAAAGAUACUUCCUUAAUUAGAGUAGAAGUCACAUAUUUUGGGUCCACAUGAAGGUAAUAAGUGGUAGCAGUUAUAUGAAAUUAGAGGCAGGUGUGGUUACUAACAAAAGCAGAAGUAAAAACAAGUAACAUGCCAGGUGCUGAAGAAACUCCCAGAUAGGAAGUUUUGCGUACACUGUGAGCCCAAAUCUAAUCUGAUCUGAAGCUGAAAUUUGACUGCUAGUCCAAACCAUAUAUGUUUUUGCAUUUUGAAUGCAGGGAGAUUGUAAGUAUAUGCUUACUUCUGAGAGUAGUCCUCCAGAGAUUUGCUUUGUUUCCUUAUAGAAUAUGAAGGUAAGUCAGCAUAUUGCCCAUAAAGUGUUUUUUUUUUUUUUUUUU